GCCCUCGUCGUUCAAUGGACAGGACAGGAGGUUUCUACCCUCCCAAUGUGGGUUCGAUUCCUACCGAGGGCA
rnacentral:tRNA from 1 species